AUGCAAAUAGUGUGCAAGUAUAUGGUAGUUUUGUUGGCAACUGAUAUUGUGUGCCUUGUGACGCAGAUCUGGUUGUGGUUAUUCAUUGAUGUUCAAUUGGACUGCUUUGGUUUAAUUGUUGCAGGACAUUGUUUGGUUGCAGGUCUACAUUUGAAUGCUGCUAGAUUUGGACGACGGGUUUGGUGCAAAAGUGAUGGCAUGCUAUUGAUGUCAAAGACUUGA